CUCCGAGUGACGUAGGACAUAUGCAGGGAAAAACUCAUAGAACGGACACAGGAAGCUGACCUUGUUUAUAAAGAAGAGCACUGAAGGUUACAAAUCUUGGCCUCAGUGUUCAUUGCUUUUGAGCGCUUGGAUUUUCAUUAAAACAUCAAUCACAGCACAAUUGAAGUUUCUCUCUGUACAAGGAAACGACAGGCCUGCGCGUUCACUGCUUUUGAGCGGUUAGAUUUUGCAUCAAAACAUCAGUCGCAGCACAAUUGAAGUUUCUUUUUGUACAAGGGAACGAAAGGCCUCAGUGUGCAUUGCUUUUGAGCGGUUGGAUUUUAAUUAAAACAUCAAUCGCAGCACAAUUGAAGUUUCUUU